rnacentral:rRNA from 1 species
AGCACUGUAGAGAGUUUGAUCMUGGCUCAGAGUGAACGCUGGCGGCGUGCUUAACACAUGCAAGUCGAACGGACUUAAGGGGCUUGCUUCUUAAGUUAGUGGCGCACGGGUGAGUAAUAUAUAGCUAACCUGCCCUUUAGUGGGGGACAACAGUUGGAAACGGCUGCUAAUACCCCAUACUCCUUCUGGUCUUAAGAUCAGUUGGGAAAGAUUUAUCGCUAAAGGAUGGGGCUUUAUUGUAUCAGCUAGUUGGUGGGGUAAUGGCCUACCAAGGCUAUGACGCAUACCUGGUCUGAGAGGAUGAUCAGGCACACUGGAACUGAGACACGGUCCAGACUCCUACGGGAGGCAGCAGUGGGGAAUAUUGCACAAUGGAGGAAACUCUGAUGCAGCAACGCCGCGUGGAGGAUGACGCAUUUCGGUGUGUAAACUCCUUUUAUAGGGGAAGAUAAUGACGGUACCCUAUGAAUAAGCACCGGCUAACUCCGUGCCAGCMGCCGCGGUAAUA